AACGAACGCUGGCGGCAUGCCUAACACAUGCAAGUCGAACGAGACCUUCGGGUCUAGUGGCGCACGGGUGCGUAACGCGUGGGAACCUGCCCUUAGGUUCGGAAUAACUCCCCGAAAGGGGUGCUAAUACCGGAUAAUGUCUUCGGACCAAAGAUUUAUCGCCUUUGGAUGGGCCCGCGUUGGAUUAGCUAGUUGGUAGGGUAAAAGCCUACCAAGGCGACGAUCCAUAGCUGGUCUGAGAGGAUGAUCAGCCACACUGGGACUGAGACACGGCCCAGACUCCUACGGGAGGCAGCAGUGGGGAAUAUUGGACAAUGGGCGAAAGCCUGAUCCAGCAAUGCCGCGUGAGUGAUGAAGGCCUUAGGGUUGUAAAGCUCUUUUACCCGGGAUGAUAAUGACAGUACCGGGAGAAUAAGCUCCGGCUUACUCCGUG
rnacentral:rRNA from 1 species